rnacentral:misc_RNA from 1 species
AAGUCGUAACAAGGUAACCGUAGGUGAACCUGCGGUUGGAUCAUUAACAAAUCCAAUUUUGCGCUUCUUAGCGCAUCCAACAUUUUGUGCACUGUAAUGUCUUUGGCGGGUUGCGUUGCUUGCUUUGAGAUUGGGGAAAUUUUUCCCAGCUCACAAGACGUCUGCCUCUACCUUUUUUCUGGUAGUGGUAGCCAGCCCGUCCGUCAAUCCCUUACCAGGGUUUGGCAACCAUAAACGCAAUGAAAUUUUUUUUUUUGUCUUAAUCCUUUCCACGAAAGCGGAAUUGUAUAUUUAAUUUAAAAACAACUUUUGACAACGGAUCUCUUGGCUCUU